rnacentral:rRNA from 1 species
GACGAACGCUGGCGGCGUGCUUAACACAUGCAAGUCGAACGGUGAAGCGAGUGCUUGCACUCGUGGAUCAGUGGCGAACGGGUGAGUAACACGUGAGUAACCUGCCCAUCACUCUGGGAUAAGCACUGGAAACGGUGUCUAAUACUGGAUACGACCAACCCUUGCAUGGGGUGUUGGUGGAAAGAUUUAUCGGUGAUGGAUGGACUCGCGGCCUAUCAGCUUGUUGGCGGGGUAAUGGCCCACCAAGGCGACGACGGGUAGCCGGCCUGAGAGGGUGACCGGCCACACUGGGACUGAGACACGGCCCAGACUCCUACGGGAGGCAGCAGUGGGGAAUAUUGCACAAUGGGCGAAAGCCUGAUGCAGCGACGCCGCGUGAGGGAUGACGGCCUCCGGGUUGUAAACCUCUUUCAGCAGGGAAGAAGCGAAAGUGACGGUACCUGCAGAAGAAGCACCGGCUAACUACGUG